GGGAGGUAUCAGGGCAUAUAAUGGAGCCGGGGGUAGGCGAAGGAGCGCCCUACGCAGCGACGACGGUUCUAGGAAAGGAGGCUCACGGAGGAAUGGGCGGGGGCUGCUGAUGUAAUUGGGAGAAGUGAUUAAUCCUGCCUUCUGCCGUUCCGGCCUCCCUCCACCCCAACCUUCACCUGGUUUUCUUCAAGUGGAGUGAGGGAGUCAAUCUUUGGUAACUCGGGAUUUCUGUGCUCGAAAAACCCAGCCUGAGUCGUGCAUGACUAGCUCAUGCCUAUGAUCUAAGAAUUCUGAAGGCUGAAGCAGAAGGAUGUCAAGUUCUACAUGCAAUCCUGGAAUGCAUGACAAAGCCCAUCUCUAAGUAAAUAUGUAAACAAAUAUUAAAAAUAUUAUGGCUAACUA